UAAUACGUAGGCAGCGAGCGUUGUUCGGAGUUACUGGGCGUAAAGAGUGCGUAGGCGGUGGCCUAAGUCUGGUGUGAAAUCUCCCGGCUCAACUGGGAGGGUGCGCCGGAAACUGGGCUGCUUGAGUGUGGGAGAGGCUAGCGGAAUUCCUGGUGUAGCGGUGAAAUGCGUAGAGAUCAGGAGGAACACCUGCGGUGUAGACGGCUGGCUGGACCACGACUGACGCUGAGGCACGAAAGCGUGGGGAGCAAACAGGAUUAGAUACCCUGGUAGUCCACGCCCUAAACGAUGCAUACUUGGUGUGGGUGAUUCAUUUCAUCCGUGCCGGAGCUAACGCGUUAAGUAUGCCGCCUGGGGAGUACGGUCGCAAGGCU
rnacentral:rRNA from 1 species